rnacentral:rRNA from 1 species
GCUGGCGGCAUGCCUAACACAUGCCAGUCGCACGAGACCUUCGGGUCUAGUGGCGCACGGGUGCGUAACGCGUGGGAACCUGCCCUUAGGUUCGGAAUAACUCCCCGAAAGGGGUGCUAAUACCGGAUAAUGUCUUCGGACCAAAGAUUUAUCGCCUUUGGAUGGGCCCGCGUUGGAUUAGCUAGUUGGUAGGGUAAAAGCCUACCAAGGCGACGAUCCAUAGCUGGUCUGAGAGGAUGAUCAGCCACACUGGGACUGAGACACGGCCCAGACUCCUACGGGAGGCAGCAGUGGGGAAUAUUGGACAAUGGGCGAAAGCCUGAUCCAGCAAUGCCGCGUGAGUGAUGAAGGCCUUAGGGUUGUAAAGCUCUUUUACCCGGGAUGAUAAUGACAGUACCGGGAGAAUAAGCUCCGGCUAACUCCGUG